rnacentral:lncRNA from 1 species
AUGUCUGGAAUCGUUAAAAUAUUACGACUUAGAAGAGUGUUCCCCUGGGACUGGAACCCCGUCAUCAGGGGAGCGGGUGCUGGCCGGUCGGUGAAGGUCAAGAGCGAGAUGUUGCAGAUCUGCAAGUGCGGGACCACCUGGACGCAGGUUCUGGAGGCUGGAAGUCCUAGAUCCAGGGGUCAGCAGGAUUGGUUUCCUCAGGGAUCUCUCCCUCCUUGCUUUGUGGAUGACUGUUUGCUCCCUGUAUCUUCACAUGGUCUUCCCGGUGAGUUCCCGUGUCUUAAUCUCCUGUUCUUACGAGGACACCAAUCAUCCCAUUAAGGUGGGAUUAGGGCCCACCAGAAUGACCUUAUUCAGCCGUAAUUACAUCUCUGAGAGCCCUAUCUUCAAAUAUAGUAACAUUCUGAGCCGCUGGAUGGAGGUUACAGCUUCAACACGAAAAUUUCGAGGGAACACAAUUCAGCCCGUAACAGAGCCCACACUCCACCCGGGAGGUACCAGGCCUUUCAAAGGCCAACAAAUUCUUAACGCAACCUGGUAGUGAUGGUGUUGGAAGUGAGGAAAGAGACUGAUAUGCUCUUGCCUUCAUAAAUAUUGGCUCAGAAACUGGGUAGGUCUGAGUCUGCUGACAGAGAAACCUCACCACCAUAGGGCUUGCUGAGGACAAGCGCAAAGGACUUCCUUUUUUGACAGAAUGUAUUUUUGUAGCAUUUCCUAGGUUUUUUUUCUUGUGACAAUAAAGAGUACCCAAAGAGAGAGGGAGAGAGAGAGAAAGAAAACCCAUUAUAAUUUUAGCAGCAAUUAACCUGAAUUCACAUAAGAGUGCUUCUGCUCCUCUGAAAGCCGCCUCUGCUGCAAAGGUGUCCAGCCCAGGUUUUCUGUUGGGAAUCCUGCCCCCAGCCACUUCUCUGCCCUGAGAACAUUGUUACCACCAUCACCCCUACCCACAGUUAUCUCCCGUCUAUCUCAAAGAAAAAAAAAAAAGUCAUGACUAGAGGACACUUUAAAGGAACAUGACCAGAUAGACUUUGGCUUAACCCACUGAGCCACCCAGGUGCCCCUCCAGAUAGACUUUGGGACCCAGAAGUGACCUGCCACUCAUUGGACAGGUGGGGCCAAAGUCAUGUCACAUUUUUCUUUUUUCUCUUUGGCUCAGAGGCAAAAAAUACUACAGUUUCUGACCUAUGACAGGAAAAAGGAAAAAAAAAAUAAAGAAAAGAAAUGAAACCCAGCCCACAGGUCCCCACACUUCAAUCCCCCCACGGACAAAGCAAGAAUAGACCCUUUGAAAUGUUUAGAACAAAAAUUUUCACACGGACUGACCUUGUUUCAUUGGAGGACACCGCAGCAGAUUCCAGUCAGAUGAAUUGAAAGCAGCAGCAGUGAUAAAAGAUACAGUUGCAAGAAUUAGCUUCAUAAAACAAUCCUUUUGAAAUACCAUGAAGCCAGCAAAUAGUUCUAGUGCCCCCAAAAGUGGUUUGGAAAAUGUAGAAUGGUUUCUUUAAGGUAGUGGUUCUUGACAUAAGGGAAGGAGCUACUUACUUCGGAUCUAGAUUUAAGCACAGUGGGUUAGAUAUUAAAAAUAAAAGACUCAGGGGCACCUGGCUGGCUCGGUUGGAAGAGCACAUGACUCUUGGUCUCUGGGUCCUGAGUUCGAGCCCCAUGUUGGGUGUAGAGAUUACCUAAAUAAAUCAAUACAAAUAAACUUUAAAAAAAAAAAAUGAAAGAUUGAGGCAACCAGUAUAUACUUUCAGACACUCAAUGCCACUAGCAGACUGUGUGUUCUCCUUGGAUGUACAACACCCUCCUUUCCAGAAUAUUCUCUGUUCUUUGUCCCCUGUAACUGCUGUUUUCAGCAGCAUUUCCUUUGACUGCAUUUCCUUGGACUCUUCUGCUGCCACCAGCUUCUCCUUGUCCAGACCUCAUUUGCUUCUUUCAACUUCCAGAUUCUAUAUCAUCUCCUAUUUGAACCUCACAUCCCCUGUGGAAGGAAGUACCAGUGCCCCCAAAACUGAGUCCUAG